CACGUAGGGGGCAAGCGUUGUCCGGAUUUAUUGGGCGUAAAGAGCUCGUAGGCGGCUUAGUAAGUCGGGUGUGAAACCUCCAGGCUCAACCUGGAGACGCCACCCGAUACUGCUGUGGCUAGAGUCCGGUAGGGGAGCGUGGAAUUCCUGGUGUAGCGGUGAAAUGCGCAGAUAUCAGGAGGAACACCGGUGGCGAAGGCGGGUCUCUGGGCCGAUACUGACGCUGAGGAGCGAAGCGUGGGGAGCGAACAGG
rnacentral:rRNA from 1 species